AAACCCUUUUUCCUCGAACCCUCUUUCCUUAACCUUCUUCACUUUUCUCUAAGCUUCUUCCCCAUCUUCACUCCUCUUCAUGCUUCUCCUUCAAUUCGACGUGAACUUCUUGGGCCCUCCUUCGAGCUUUUUCUUCGUUUUCAUCAGUGCGUGCGUGUGGCUUUUCUCCUUCGUCUUGAACACUAUCUUCCUUUCAGGUUUGCUCUCAUCUUUCACAUUUCGUCUUCCUCGAGUUUCCUCUUUCCACUCGAGAGCUCCUCAUUCACAAACCAUUUUUCUUCACACAAUCUUCUUCUUCUUUCAUAUUUAGCUUUUCCAUAGCCUUUGCAACCAUCGAACGUUUGUUCUACCGAUUCAUUAGUCGAUCUACAUCUCUAGUUAGGGCCCCAACCUCUUUUCACCAUUUUCUUCAUUUUCAACCGAUUAAAUCCUUUUUUCUAUCGAUUAAAAGCCUUUCCACCGAUUGAUUCUUCGAUUAGCAUCAUUUACACCGAUCAAUCUUGCAUUUGCACCGAUUAAUCGAUCCAUUUUAGGUUUCCUUCGUCAACCUAGGGUUUUAGGGUUCUUCGCGUCGAAUCCUCUCCGUUUUUGGAGUAUUCCUGGAUUCUCAGGGUUUGGAAGAAAUUGCACACAAAUGUUAUUCAGGAGAACAACUGAAAGAUGCGUUGUCCAGCUGGAGCUAUGCUUUCACCACAACUGCAGGUAUCACUGGUUGGGAUGACAAAGAUUUCAGGGGAUAAGAGCUAUCGAAGGAUUGUCCCUGAAACUGCAUUCCAGCAUUAGAGAUUGCUUGGAAGCUCGUUCUUUCAAGAAAAUGAAGAGACUAAGACUCCUACAACUUGAUCAUGUACAACUUAGUGGAGAUUAUGGAUGACUGAGUAUGAUGAGUAUGGCACACCUCUGGAUCGUGAAACAUUUAUGAAAGAGCUUGGGAAUUUCUACAGAUAGCGGUCCUUGGAAUUUAAGCCUCCUAAGUUUUACGGAGAGCCUCUAAAUUACCUUAAGUUGUGGAGAGCUGUUAUCAGACUGGGUUGCUAUGAUGUGUUGCUCUAUCAGGUAUUUCAAGCAAUUGGUGCUGUCAGAGGAUUUCUAAGACCAUAUUCUCUUUAUAUGGCAUCUAAUGGUCCUAAUCCACCUCCUCCACUCUAGGCACAAUCUAAUAAGGAGAAGGGAAAAAGCAACGUGAUGUUGUUAUCACGGUGAUGGAGUGCAACGACAAUGUCAAUCCAAGAUGAACAAAAUUCGUAGUGAUUAUUAGGAAAUUAUAGACUUGUCAGUCUAUGUUGUUUGACAUUUUAUGAAUUGUAGAAUUUAUAUUGUUUGAGAUCUUAGGAACUGCACAAUCUAUUAAUGAAUAUUAGACAUUUUGUAAAUUUAUUUGAUAAUGAUUUUUAAGUAAUAUAUAUCUAUUUUUAGUGUGA